AGAGUUUGAUCCUGGCUCAGGACGAACGCUGGCGGCGCGCCUAACACAUGCAAGUCGAACGAGAGAGAGGGAGCUUGCUUCCUUGAUCGAGUGGCGAACGGGUGAGUAACGCGUGAGGAACCUGCCUCAAAGAGGGGGACAACAGUUGGAAACGACUGCUAAUACCGCAUAAGCCCACGACCCGGCAUCGGGAAGAGGGAAAAGGAGCAAUCCGCUUUGAGAUGGCCUCGCGUCCGAUUAGCUAGUUGGUGAGGUAACGGCCCACCAAGGCGACGAUCGGUAGCCGGACUGAGAGGUUGAACGGCCACAUUGGGACUGAGACACGGCCCAGACUCCUACGGGAGGCAGCAGUGGGGAAUAUUGCACAAUGGGGGAAACCCUGAUGCAGCGACGCCGCGUGGAGGAAGAAGGUCUUCGGAUUGUAAACUCCUGUUGUUGAGGAAGAUAAUGACGGUACUCAACAAGGAAGUGACGGCUAACUACGUGCCAGCAGCCGCGGUAAAACGUAGGUCACAAGCGUUGUCCGGAAUUACUGGGUGUAAAGGGAGCGCAGGCGGGAAGACAAGUUGGAAGUGAAAUCCAUGGGCUCAACCCAUGAACUGCUUUCAAAACUGUUUUUCUUGAGUAGUGCAGAGGUAGGCGGAAUUCCCGGUGUAGCGGUGGAAUGCGUAGAUAUCGGGAGGAACACCAGUGGCGAAGGCGGCCUACUGGGCACCAACUGACGCUGAGGCUCGAAAGUGUGGGUAGCAAACAGGAUUAGAUACCCUGGUAGUCCACACUGUAAACGAUGAUUACUAGGUGUUGGGAGAUUGACCCUCUCAGUGCCGCAGUUAACACAAUAAGUAAUCCACCUGGGGAGUACGACCGCAAGGUUGAAACUCAAAGGAAUUGACGGGGGCCCGCAC
rnacentral:rRNA from 1 species